rnacentral:rRNA from 1 species
GAUGAACGCUAGCGACAGGCUUAACACAUGCAAGUCGAGGGGCAGCACAGGUAGCAAUACCGGGUGGCGACCGGCGCACGGGUGAGUAACGCGUAUGCAACUUACCUAUCAGAGGGGGAUAACCCGGCGAAAGUCGGACUAAUACCGCAUGAAGCAGGGGUCCCGCAUGGGGAUAUUUGCUAAAGAUUCAUCGCUGAUAGAUAGGCAUGCGUUCCAUUAGGCAGUUGGCGGGGUAACGGCCCACCAAACCGACGAUGGAUAGGGGUUCUGAGAGGAAGGUCCCCCACAUUGGUACUGAGACACGGACCAAACUCCUACGGGAGGCAGCAGUGAGGAAUAUUGAUUAAUGGCCGAGAGGCUGAACCAGCCAAGUCGCGUGAGGGAUGAAGGUUCUAUGGAUCGUAAACCUCUUUUAUAAGGGAAUAAAGUGCGGGACGUGUCCCGUUUUGUAUGUACCUUAUGAAUAAGGAUCGGCUAACUCCGUG